GUUAUUACUAUCAAUUUUUAAAAAGGCCAUGGCACCCCAGAAGGUACAGAUCCUCUGAAUGCUAAGAUUGUGUUUUUACAGUUGUCUAGUAUAGGACAGGCUUCUCAUGUGGAAAAGAGGAUUCAGUGUGGUAUCAAAAAAUUGAUUGGAAGGCUUCCUCUCUUACUCUCUCAUACAUAGACAUUCACAAACACCAUCUUUGUUUAGUAAACUGUGGAGACUCUUCCAAAAGAAAAUAGACACUAAUUUUUGGAGAAUCCAUUCAGCUUUCACAGGCCUCUAAAUAGCACAGGUGUUAGAAUUACUAAGGAUAACGAUUACAUUAACCAGGAGCAAAACUAAAAAUACAUCGUUCUACUUUCAUACUUGGAAAUAUCGGCCUUUUGAUAUUACAAAAAGGCCAAUUUUGCCAGGUCCUUCGAAAUUUCAAAGAAAGAUUCAGUAAAAAUAAAUAAAUAACAGGACUCACUGGAGCCAUGAUGAAAUAUUUCCACCUAAAGGAAACAAUCUUUAACAGCUCAUCCUUCAGUACACUCAAACUUCUCUUGAACCACUUAAAAACUCCAUUCCAGGGAGUCCUCCAAAGUUCCACAACACCAGACGCAAGCUACCCAGGACAUGUGCUCUAGCAGGGCAUGCCCAGGGCCCCCAGAUAGAUGACUGAAAAAUAUAAUUCUUUCAGGUGGACAAGGCCCAGCAGGAACGUAGUGUGCCAGGUUUCCCUGCCAGCCCUCCUCGCCCUCUCGGCGGGGGGCCAAAUGACUCAACACAGCCCUGUUCGUACCUCCCUUUUCUUCCCAUCUCCCACAUUAUAAGAGAUCAGAGCCAAGUUAUCCUUCACCCAAGGUCAUAAUCUCAGAUUGGGGAGUGGUAAGUGGAUAAUGACAGGCUCUCACAGUGAACUCUCCUCCUAAACUUGGCACAUCACAAAGAUUUCAUCUUGCAUGCUGUCCAACCUAGGCACUGGCUGCUGGACUGUUGACAAAGAGUUGAGAUGAAAUCCACCCUUAGGAGAGAGCAGUGGAUGGAUUAUCAGUAUAUUCUGUGGGCUCCCAAUAGUAUAUAUGUCUCCAGUUUGCUGUCCUUGUCCAAACCACCCAAAUCACCAAGAGUUCAUUGAGCAAUUAAUAUAUACAAGGCAUUGUGAGAGAUGCUUCCAAACCUGGCCAAAUAUCAGAGUCUUUGGGGAGCUUUUUAAAAAUGCAGAUCCUUCACAAUUUUUCUGUAAAUCUAAAGUUAUUCUAAAACACAAAAGUUAUUUUUUAAAAUGCAGAUCCUUUGGUUUCACUGAAUCAGAAGCUCCCCAGAAGACUGUAAUAUGGUCAUUUAGAGAGCUCAGAAACCACCAUUUAAGAGGCUACUAAGAUAACUAAUAUUAAGACCGUCACUACUCUUACCCACUACUCUUAUAAAGAAAACCCUGCAGUCAUGCAAAACUGCAACACAUUCAUGGGUCAUCAGAUCAAUUUUAUGGGUCAUGACCAGGAUAUACUCUUAAAUACAAUAGAGAAGUUUUAGGUACAUUAUUACUUUGUGAAUCUUUUCUCUGAGACACAUAUAUAUGGAUAUCUAUAUCUAUCUCCAUAUCUACACCAAUAUAGAUAUAGAUACCAAUCUGUGUACUGCAUCACAAUGAAAACAUGUAUGUUUUACUUUGCGGCAAAGACUAAAAAUGUGAAAUUAAAUGGUCUAAAUUAAAUGCUUCCUACUGCAAUCUUAGUGUCUUCCCUCUCUUGUUUUCUAGUGGAAACUAAGAAGCUUACCAUCAACCACAACUCUCCAUUAAAAAAUUAUAAAUUGAUCUUCUCUUAGCCUUAUUUCUCUAACUUGGAAAUGUGGAAUUUCCUUGCCUUUUUUUCAUAGACAAAUGUUGUUAUUCUUUAUUAAACUUCCUCCAAAUGGGGUUUAUUAAAUUUUAGUUUUAAAGUGUG
ensembl:lncRNA novel transcript, sense intronic LAMA4